rnacentral:miRNA from 1 species
CAGCUGCUAGCUGCACUCCACA